AGAAUCAACGCUGGCGGCGUGCCUAACACAUGCAAGUCGAACGAGAAAGUGGAGCAAUCCAUGAGUAAAGUGGCGCACGGGUGAGUAACACGUGACUAACCUACCCUUGAGUGGGGGAUAACCUAGGGAACCUGGGCUAAUACCGCAUAAUACCUUCGGGUCAAAGGAGCAAUUCGCUUAAGGAGGGGGUCGCGGCCGAUUAGUUAGUUGGCGGGGUAAUGGCCCACCAAGACUAUGAUCGGUAUCCGGCCUGAGAGGGCGCACGGACACACUGGAACUGAAACACGGUCCAGACUCCUACGGGAGGCAGCAGUGGGGAAUUUUGCGCAAUGGGGAACCCUGACGCAGCAACGCCGCGUGGAGGAUGAAGUCCCUUGGGACGUAAACUCCUUUCGAUCGGGACGAUUAUGACGGUACCGAGAGAAGAAGCCCGGCUAACUUCGCGCCAGCAGCCGC
rnacentral:rRNA from 1 species